rnacentral:sRNA from 1 species
CGAAUUGUAGUCUGGAUUUGAGUAAA